rnacentral:ncRNA from 1 species
GGGUGUAAUUUGAUUUUAGUUACACUAAAUGGCUUUACUUUUAUUUUACAUGUAUAUUUUAGUAAGAUUAUUUUAUAAUUCUUAAAGAAUUUAAAUUAUUUUUAUACGCAGUUUUUAGUUUUAAAUCUUUAAAAAAUUUUAGAGUUAGUUAAUGGUAUAUAUGAUUAGCUAAUAAUGUGCCAGCAGCUGCGGUUAUACAUUUAGAUCAAAGUUAUUUUGUUUAAUUUAUAAUUACUUGUAUUAGUUGGAUUAAUAAAUUUUGUUUUUAGGGUGAAAUUUAAAAUAAAUUUUAAUUCUGGGUGAGGAUUUUAUGAUAUUUUUAUAUAGACUAGGAUUAGAUACCCUAUUAUUUUAAAUGUAAAUUUUAAAAUUAGUAUUAAUAGUUAUGAUCUUUAAAUUAAAAGAAUUUGACGGUAAUUUAAUCUGUUCAGAGGAGCCUGUAUUUUAAUCGAUAAUCCACGAUAAAUAUUACCUUGAAAUAUUAGUUUGUAUACCUCUGUCUUAAGAAUGUUUUAUUAGAAUUUUAAUUUUCUAAUUUUUAUCUUAAUUAUAUGUCAAGUCAAGGUGCAGCUUUUUAAGGAUUUUUAUGGGCUACAUUUAUUUUUAAUUUUGAAUAAAAAUUUGUAUUUGAUUUUUUGAAAAUGGAUUUGAUUGUAAUAUAUAUUAUAUUUUAUAUAUGAUAUUUGCUCUGGGUUAAGUACAUAUCGCCCGUCGCUCUUAUUAUUAAAAUAAGAUAAGUCGUAACAAAGUAGGCUUAUCGGAAGAUGAGCCUGGAAUUAAGU